rnacentral:rRNA from 1 species
CAGCAGCAGCCGCGGUAAUACAGAGGGUGCGAGCGUUAAUCGGAUUUACUGGGCGUAAAGCGUGCGUAGGCGGCUUCUUAAGUCGGAUGUGAAAUCCCUGAGCUUAACUUAGGAAUUGCAUUCGAUACUGGGAAGCUAGAGUAUGGGAGAGGAUGGUAGAAUUCCAGGUGUAGCGGUGAAAUGCGUAGAGAUCUGGAGGAAUACCGAUGGCGAAGGCAGCCAUCUGGCCUAAUACUGACGCUGAGGUACGAAAGCAUGGGGAGCAAACAGGAUUAGAUACCCCUGUAGUCCCUGUCUCUUAUAA